UGGGGAGGAGGGUUGGGGGCUCUCUGAGAGUAUAGGCUGUGAGCUGAGCCCCCAUAGGCCCUGUUCCUUGGAGUCGGGGGCACCUUCCUCUCACUCCGCCUGGAACCAGGGCCCAUGGAAAAGCUUGGUGCUUGGGGUCUUCCUUCUGGCCCAGUGUGCCUGGAGCAGAGGAAGACGGGAGGCAGGGCUCCCUAGAAGCAGGGCCUGGAGGUGGUUCAGGGUCACUGUGUAUGGAGGGAGGGAAGCAGGAGAAGAGGGGCCCCAAGAGGGGUCUCAGGAAGCACAACCUCAGCCUGACCCCAGGGCGGCUCUGGGGCAUGCACCCCACCAAGUUGUCCUGCCUCAGGGCCGGGGGCCAGGCUUUGCACCCCCAUCUCAGGCAGCUGCUGCUGCCUGUGACCCAGGGGGAAGCUCUGUGAGCAUGCAGGCCGGUGAUCCUGUCAGCUGGGGUGAUGCUGGGGACGCUCUCACCAUUGGGAUCUGGCAGGCAGGACACGCGGUGUUCCCCGACAUGGCGGUCCGUGCUCCCCCGGUGCCUCCUCUGCCCCAGCAAGCAUGGGCUCACCACCCUGAUAUGGCAGCCUUUGGGGUGCUUAGCUGGGCCCCCACAAAUGCAAGUCUUCUGCUUCUGCAGCCACAGAGUGGAGCUACACUUCCCACCCCGACCUGCCCUGCUGCAGCUCGGGGGCCCGGAGGCCUGGGUCUCUGUCUGGCACCCCAUAGGCCUUGACCGUCCUUGUCCUUCCCGGGUUGCCACUGGUCCUGCCUGUUUGGCACGUCCCAGCCAACACCACCUCCUGGAGCCUCUGCAGCGCUGCCGGCCGGCUGGGAUGGUGCAGAAGGAGCCAGCCUUCCUGGGAAGGGGCUGUGGUCGCUGGCGGCAGGCAGGCCAUUCAGGAGCCAGAGCCUGGAUGAGCGUGCUCACCACCACCACGUUUACUCUGCGUGAGUAUCUGGAAAUUAAACUAACGUGUCAAGCUAGUGAUUUCACAGAAAAUUUUGCUCAGGUGCAAAGCUAA
rnacentral:lncRNA from 1 species